UACGGGGGGGGUAAGCGUUGUUCGGAAUUACUGGGCGUAAAGGGCUCGUAGGCGGCCAACUAAGUCAGACGUGAAAUCCCUCAGCUUAACUGGGGAACUGCGUCUGAUACUGGAUGGCUUGGAUUUGGGAGAGGAAUGCGGAAUUCCAGGUGUGGCGGUGAAAUGCGUAGAUAUCUGGAGGAACACCGGUGGCGAAGGCGGCAUUCUGGACCAAUAUUGACGCUGAGGAGCGAAAGCCAGGGGAGCAAACGGG
rnacentral:rRNA from 1 species